GACAGAGGGUGCAAACGUUGUUCGGAUUCAUUGGGCGUAAAGGGUGUGUAGGUGGCGCCGUAAGUCGGGUGUGAAAUCUCGGGGCUUAACUCCGAAACUGCAUUCGAUACUGCGGUGCUUGAGGACUGGAGAGGAGACUGGAAUUCAUGGUGUAGCAGUGAAAUGCGUAGAGAUCAUGGGGAAGACCAGUGGCGAAGGCGGGUCUCUGGACAGUUCCUGACACUGAGACACGAAGGCCAGGGGAGCAAACGGG
rnacentral:rRNA from 1 species